rnacentral:rRNA from 1 species
UACGGAGGGAGCUAGCGUUGUUCGGAAUUACUGGGCGUAAAGCGCACGUAGGCGGCUUUGUAAGUUAGAGGUGAAAGCCUGGGGCUCAACUCCAGAAUUGCCUUUAAGACUGCAUCGCUCGAAUCAUGGAGAGGCGGGUGGAAUUCCGAGUGUAGAGGUGAAAUUCGUAGAUAUUCGGAAGAACACCAGUGGCGAAGGCGGCCCGCUGGACAUGUAUUGACGCUGAGGUGCGAAAGCGUGGGGAGCAAACAGG